ACGAGCCCUCUGCGCCCUCUCCGCGCUCCCAUUGGCUGCCACCCCCACAGCCCGCGAGGCGGAGCGGCAGCGGUGACCGUUGCGCCCCCCUGCGGCGGGGAGGGCUGCCGCAGCCCGGCACGUGUGGGAAGCGCUAGGCCGCCAUUUUGCGUGCGGCGGGAGGAGGGCGCGGCCGGGGGGACCGGAACGACCCCGACAUCACCAAGCACCCCGGCGGCACGAAGCGGCUUCACACCUCUCCGGUAGCGUCCUGAAACUCUGGAGCCAAUGGCGUGGUGGUGAACUGGGAGGAUGGGCAGAGCCGUGGCCUCGUGUGAAGUGUGCCCUUCUGAGGGAGUAAUGCAAAAUAGGCUGCCACAAUUGAGCGUAUCCUCACUUACUGCAGUCUAGGACUUUGCUACUCUGCUGUCACUACUGUGCUUUCCAUCACGUUAUAGUGACUAAGUAAACAACAACCGUAUUAGACGAAGAAAAAUCUUAAAUCUAGGAUGGACUCAGAUAUAUAAAUGAGUGCCGGAAAAGGAGGAAGACUAAUGAAAAAGGGCUGGAAAGGAGUGUCAGGGUUUGCCUUGUUCAUUGCUCUGUCCUCAGAAUCUUACAGAAAUUUACAAAGGCUGACAUGUGGAAGUUUAUUUCCAGUGAUUUCUUCUGAGAUACGUAAAGAAUUUGGCACGUUUGGACUGAAGUUAGCCACUGUGAAUCGUCUUCUAGUGGCUUUCCAAAACCAAGUUUUGAUCAUCUGACAGACCCUUUGGACACACCAGAAUUUCACAGGCUUUACAGAGUUACCCGGUUGAGAGCAUCCAUCUGUUGAAUAUUACUUAGGUACUGCCCCCACAAAGGAGAAAAUACAGGUUAUACAUUUUGUGUUCUGAUACAUGAAAACGUUGCAGAAAAUGAGCCCAGAUAAAAGAACUUGGAAAGAGAUCCAGAAGAUACAUUACAAUGAAUUUUAUUUCCAGGAUCAGGUAAUUGCUGAUGUCCUUGACCUGCUGUACCCUCAGAGAGCCAAUCUUUGUCUGUUCUCUACCAAAAAUGAGAGGAAGUGCCCUUGAAAGGAGAGAUGGCUUGAGACCAAGUACAGUGUAGAAGGACAUGGAGCAGUACUGGGCGGUUGUAUUGGCUGAUGACUUAAGGUUAAAUCCAGACUUGCAUCCUCCAGAAGAAAAUAAAUGUUUAGGUCCUGAUGUGCUAGCUGAGAAAUCCCCAGGAAAUGAUCCAUUGCCAGUUGCUGCAGAAACACACAGUUUCAAAGUUGAAACCUCUGUUAUUGUCACCAGGAUAAUCCUCAAGAAAUGUCAAACUUCAACUGCCAACAGCUCUGUGAAGCUGGCACUGCAGGACUCGUGGAAACCUCUGUUAACCUGUGUGCUGUUCCCAGGGCAUCCAAAGCCACUGCAGCCGCCUCUGAGGUGCUCCUGUUGUAGCUGUUCGGGCACUGGGACCAGCAAAGAAUGUGUGUGGUGGGGGCUGGGGAGGAAGAAAAUGAGAAAAGGAUACAACAAGGAUUAGUUUCUUCUACUCACUUGUAUACAAAAGCUGUGAUGCAAGAAGGCUAGGAGGAGUUCCUCAGCUUCCUUCACGCUUCAGUCCAAUGUGUGGUGGUAGUUCAUUAUAACUCUGUGGUUACCCUUCUGCAACAUAAAUAAUGAUUAAAACAAAGAAGCAGGUUUUGAGAUCCAAAGAAAACUUGUUCGAUGCGUCCUGGCUGGAGCAGCAACUUGAUCCUUACGGCAGCCCGUCGUCUUCUAAGCUCAGCGCCACACGCUGUGAGGGAAGGAAAUCGUACUUGAGGAGAGGCUAUUACUGCCAGUGCUUCAUCUCACGAGGGCUGCUUCUUGGAAGGAAGAUCCAAAGCAGACAAGCUGCCACACAGAACAGUUUUUCUUUUUUUCUGCAUACAAAGGACUUGCUAACAAAUGCUGUGACAAGUUGCUGCUUCCGGUGGUCAUCUCAGAAUCUACGAGGAUGGAUGCGGUUGAACGAGAACCAGGGCUGGCAGUCGUGGCUUCCGCUACAGCUUUGGGAAUGGCGGCGGCGGUGGCAUUGCCAGUGACAGUCGCGGUGGAGGCAGAGGCAGGACGAGAUGCUGUGGUUCUAGGAACCACGACAGUAGCUGGAGUAGUUGGAAGAUCUGAAAAGCAGAAGCAGUGAUGAAAUAAAUUAGCAAAUCACAAAUGGUGAUAUAGAUCUGGGGAGGAUUGUGACGUUUGCUGGUUGGAAACAAACCAAAUUCCAAUUCUCCUUGCCAAGUAGAGAACUGAUAGAUCUACAGCUACGGAUUAUUUUUUCUGAAAUCAAAAUUAACAGCAGUAACGUACUCUGUCUGGAAGAUAGCUAAGAAGUUAAAAUACUCUUUUGAGACGGUACUGAAUUUGUACCAGGAAGAGAAAAUUAUAUUGUAACCACCAGUCUCUUCAGCAGUGAUAGUGGUCUUUCCAGAUCCAGUAUCUAUAGGGCACUAACAUGGCAAAUUUAUACCAUUUACUGACCAUUCACAUUUUCAGUCCUAGGCAUCAUCCCUUCUUUCCUCUUUUCCCUCUAUUUUUUCCUGACGAUGCUUUCAAAAAAUAAUACGUCUUCAAUAAAGAAUAGCACAAUGCUGUGUUCAGAA